UACUAUGUAGGUAGUUUAUUAACUUAACAAAAAUUAUACAUACAACAUAACACAUAUUUAUAAAAAACACACAAUAAAUUAAUGUACAUAUUAGGAUAAGUGACUACUAUCAAGUGACAGUCAUGUUUUUACAUUCACAUGUUUGCUAUUUAGUCAAGUUAUAAUAAGAAUAUUGGAGUGCUCAUUUAAUAUUCUUAUUUUAGCUUUUAAUUAUUAUUGUUAUAUUGAUUAUGAUCAAAUACCUAUAUUUUUAUUAUGUUAAUUACACACAGAUAUUUUUCAAAAAAUGACUGUACAAUAAAAGUUACAUUCCAAAAUUAUAUAUUUCUUUAAAAUUGUUUCUUAAUAAAAUUUAAUUAUAAAGAAAUAUUUUUCAGAAAAUAUAUUUCCAUUUAAAUAAUAGU